rnacentral:lncRNA from 1 species
GUAUCUCGUAUAUUGAUAUGUAAAAAUGUAAUACAAAUCAAACUAUAAUACUCAAGGUCUCAUAACGACCUUUUCUGACUCAUAUCGCCAAGCAAAUUAAGUACACAAUUACAAUUUGCAUAAUCUCAAAUGUAAAUGACACUUUCUUAUUUAUAGACUCAGCUUCUCCUCUCUCUACUGAUCCACAUCAUUCUCAUUAGUCUAACUCAGCCGCCCUUAAUCCAAGUGCACUCAGCUCCUCUGCAGCCUUCUUCCUCUGCUUCCCGAAGCAAACCUUUAACGGUCUAUCAAUACCCCCAAGCAGAGAUUUAGCUUGUCCUCAAGCUUAGUAUCAGGAAAAUAUCGUAUCGCUUAACUCAUCUUAA